rnacentral:rRNA from 1 species
AUUGAACGCUGGCGGCAGGCCUAACACAUGCAAGUCGAACGAGUGGCGGACGGGUGAGUCAUGUCUGGGAAACUGCCCGAUGGCGGGGGAUAACUACUGGAAACGGUAGCUCAUACCGCCUCACCUCUGGUGUGCCCAGAUGGGAUUAGCUAGUAGGUGGGGUAAUGGCUCACCUAGGCGACGAUCCCUAGCUGGUCUGAGAGGAUGACCAGCCACACUGGAACUGAGAAACGGUCCAGACUCCUACGGGAGGCAGCAGUGGGGAAUAUUGCACAAUGGGCGCAAGCCUGAUGCAGCCAUGCCGCGUGUAUGAAGAAGGCCUUCGGGUUGUAAAGUACUUUCAGCGGGGAGGCGUUACCCGCAGAAGAAGCACCGGCUAACUCCGUGCCAGCAGCCGCGGUAAUUC